rnacentral:rRNA from 1 species
UACGUAGGUGGCAAGCGUUGUCCGGAAUUAUUGGGCGUAAAGCGCGCGCAGGCGGUCCUUUAAGUCUGAUGUGAAAGCCCUGGGCUCAACCUGGGAAUGGCAUUGGAAACUGGCGACCUAGAGUGCGGUAGAGGGUAGUGGAAUUCCCGGUGUAGCAGUGAAAUGCGUAGAGAUCGGGAGGAACAUCCGUGGCGAAGGCGACUACCUGGACCAGCACUGACACUGAGGCACGAAAGCGUGGGGAGCAAACAGG